rnacentral:lncRNA from 1 species
UACUGGAACUUUCCAGUUAUCUCUAGUCUGGACCAGAUACUUCAUGCAAAGGGAAGAAAAGUGCACAAACAAAAUAUAAGAAACAAGGCAGACAGGCAUUUUUUUUAAAUUUUCACACCCACUGAUAGACCAGUGAUGCAUUCACAUCCUCUGCAUUCAUGAUCAAAAAAAGUGCUUUCCUAGAACAUGAACCUCAACCCACGUGUCGCCUCAAGUAGUGUAUGCAUGAACUCAAGCAUUAAAUUAGAAUUGAUUUUUUUAAAAACUCACACAAACAGAUGUAUUAUUUAAAAAUCUUUGAAGCAGGUUUAAACAGUUUUCAGGAUUAAAAGCAGCCACUAUUAGAAAGAAUAAAAAUACAUUUGACAUAAACGGGAUUAUUGAAUAUCAUCUAGUCCAGGCGUGGU